GACGAACGCUGGCGGCGUGCUUAACACAUGCAAGUCGAACGAAAAGCGAUGGAUUCUUGCUUCUAUCAAUCUUAGUGGCGAACGGGUGAGUAACGCGUAAUCAACCUGCCCUUCAGAGGGGGACAACAGUUGGAAACGACUGCUAAUACCGCAUACGAUCUAAUCUCGGCAUCGAGGAUAGAUGAACGGUGGCCUCUACAUGUAAGCUAUCACUGCAGGAGGGGGUUGCGUCGGAUUAGCUAGUUGGAGGGGUAACGGCCCACCAAGGCGAUGAUCAGUAGUCGGACGGAGGGGAUGAGCGGCCACAUUGGGACGGAGACACGGCACAGACUGCUUCGGGAGGCAGCAGGGGGGAAUCGUGCGCAAGGGGCGAAAGUCUGACGGAGCAACGCCGCGUGAGGGAGGACGGCCGUCGGGUUGUAGAGCUCUGUUAAUCGGGACGAAAGGGCUUCUUGCGAAUAGUGAGAAGGAUUGACGGUACCGGAAUAGAAAGCAACGGCUAACUACGUG
rnacentral:rRNA from 1 species